UACGUAGGGGGCAAGCGUUAUCCGGAUUUACUGGGUGUAAAGGAAGCGUAGACGGCAGUGCAAGUCUGGAGUGAAAGGCGGGGGCUCAACCCCCGGACUGCUCUGGAAACUGUACGGCUGGAGUGCAGGAGAGGUAAGUGGAAUUCCUAGUGUAGCGGUGAAAUGCGUAGAUAUUAGGAGGAACACCAGUGGCGAAGGCGGCUUACUGGACUGUAACUGACGUUGAGGCUCGAAAGCGUGGGGAGCAAACAGG
rnacentral:rRNA from 1 species